GAUCAUGGCUCAGGACGAACGCUGGCGGCACGCCUAACACAUGCAAGUCGAACGGAGAUAAAGACUUCGGUUUUUAUCUUAGUGGCGGACGGGUGAGUAACACGUGAGCAACCUGCCUCUGAGAGAGGGAUAGCUUCUGGAAACGGAUGGUAAUACCUCAUAACAUAGCGGUACCGCAUGAUACUGCUAUCAAAGAUUUAUCGCUCAGAGAUGGGCUCGCGUCUGAUUAG
rnacentral:rRNA from 1 species